AGACAGUUGAAUAGGAACCAUACGAAUAGGUUUACUCUCCUAGCAGUCAAACUGGAACAGCAUACAAUAAAUCCUUCCCCCAAUAAUGAGACGACACUUCACUUUGAGGGUUAAAACAGGAACUCCCUGUACUAUCACAUACAGUCUCUUUUAUUCCCAAUCCACAAACAUAGUACAGCCCACAGGGCGUUACAAAACAGCCAAUCAAU